rnacentral:rRNA from 1 species
AGUAGUCAGAGCCCGUUAACGGGUAAUGGCGUGCCUUUUGUAGAAUGAACCGGCGAGUUGCGUUAGUCAGCAAGGUUAAGUCAGAAAAGACGGAGCCGUAGCGAAAGCGAGUCUGAAUAGGGCGAGCAGUUGGCUGACGCAGACCCGAAACCAAGUGACCUACCCAUGACCAGGUUGAAGGCGCGGUAAAACGCGCUGGAGGACCGAACCCACGUAAGUUGAAAAUUGCGGGGAUGAGUUGUGGGUAGCGGUGAAAUUCCAAACGAACUUGGAGAUAGCUGGUUCUCUCCGAAAUAGCUUUAGGGCUAGCCUCGCAAAGAGGAUGCUGGAGGUAGAGCUCUGUUUGGACUAGGGGCCCGUCAAGGGUUACUGAAUUCAGAUAAACUGCGAAUUCCAGACAUUUAUGUGCGGGAGUCAAACUGCGAGUGACAAGAUCCGUAAUCGAAAGGGAA